AAAUCACGUUCAGGGAAAAAAUUUUACUGAUGCGAAUGUAAAAUCGUACGAAUAAAACUACGUGAAUCAUUUGUCCCCGAGUGAGUGCUGGCGAAAUAGUCUCUUAAUAUUACCAAUUUCGAAACCAAACG